rnacentral:rRNA from 1 species
UACGUAGGGGGCAAGCGUUGUCCGGAAUCAUUGGGCGUAAAGCGCGUGUAGGCGGUUCGGUAAGUCUGCUGUGAAAGUCCAGGGCUCAACCCUGGGAUGCCGGUGGAUACUGUCGGACUAGAGUACGGAAGAGGCGAGUGGAAUUCCCGGUGUAGCGGUGAAAUGCGCAGAUAUCGGGAGGAACACCAAUGCGAAGGCAGCUCGCUGGGACGUUACUGACGCUGAGACGCGAAAGCGUGGGGAGCAAACAGG